UAUAACAAUGGAAAACCAGCCAACAAAUAUGUUUAUCUCACAGCAAGGCACAGCACACUCUGGAGGCAGAGCGGCCGCUACACGUUUCCCCACUCCUCGAACCUUGGUUUUCUCUCCACUCAAAUGGGAAUACUGACUGCCCACAUAACUGAUCAAAUGCAAUAAAGCCUGUCAAGCGCCAGAUGCAGGAUGUGGAACAAAGAAGGAUCUCAUCCUCAGAGUCCAGAUGGAAACCAACUGUCUUAGAAAAGUGUACGGCUCUAUUUCACUGACCAACCCAGUGUGGGCGACUUGCAAGCUUUCAACGGAUGAUGGUACUCACGAGGCUUUGAUGAGCAGCUGCUCUCUCUCCUGGAGUUCCCGCUUCAGACUUUCUACUUCCACCUUGAGCUCAAUGUUCUACAAAACAAGAUUAAGAAAGAAAAGAAACAAUGUAAAAUAGAGGACCUAUGAAUGUCAACAAUGGGGAAACUGCUUCCAGCACAGACUGACUACAGGAUGCUUGUAAUAGGCAGAUGUUAGAUUCCAAAAACCCUCAUUAGCCUCAGGGCACAGGGAAAAGGGAAUUAUUAAACACUGGUGGUCUCAAAAGAAAGACCUAGAUUUUGUGAGACUUGGAACAAUUAUGUAAAUGCUCCAAGCUUCUAACAGCCAGAGCAUUCAAAUAUCAAGGCAUAAAUGUCAUACAAGGAAGGCUGAUUUAAAAAUUGUAUGCCCUCCACCAAGCAAAUUUACAAGCAAUUCUGCGGUGUGUUUUUCCCAUUCCAAAGCAAUUACUGGUGGUUGUUUACAAUCAUGCAUGUGGUGGAUGCAGCAGUGGGAACGUGUUACAGCUUAAAAAAAAAUAAAACAUGUGGAUGGAAAACAGGAGACCA
rnacentral:lncRNA from 1 species